rnacentral:rRNA from 1 species
GUGCCAGAGCCGCCGGUAAUACGGAGGGUGCAAGCGUUAAUCGGAAUUACUGGGCGUAAAGCGCAGCGCAGGCGGUGCGUCAAGUCGGAUGUGAAAUCCCCGGGCUCAACCUGGGAACUGCAUCCGAAACUGGCAGGCAUAGAGUCUUGUAGAGGGGGGUAGAAUUCCAGGUGUAGCGGUGAAAUGCGUAGAGAUCUGGAGGAAUACCGGUGGCGAAGGCGGCCCCCUGGACAAAGACUGACGCUCAGGUGCGAAAGCGUGGGGAGCAAACAGGAUUAGAUACCCUGGUAGUCC